rnacentral:lncRNA from 1 species
CGCAGAGUUUUCAGGAAAAACUUUGCAGCUCAGAUAGAUGUGGCAUGAUGUAUUCAAAGUGCUGAAAGGAGAAAAUCUGCUGCCAAGAAUAUAUUCUAUUCAGCAAGGGUAUCAUUCAGAAUAGGAGAGAUCAAGAGUUCCUAGCCAGAUAGGAACAAGAGCUAAGGGAGUUCCUGACCACCAACCUAGCUCUACAAAAAAUGUUAAAGGGGAACAUUCUUUGAGUGGAAAGGAAAGACCAUAAAUAAGAGUAAGAAAAGUAGGAAGCACAAAAGAAGUAAAAAUAAGUAUAUCUGUAAAAAUCAAUCAAGGGAUUCACAAAAGGAUGUAAAGUAUGACACCAUGUAUCUAGAACAUGGAUGGGGAUUCAGGGAUGGAGAGAAGAUAUAGACUGCUAUAUGCAGAAAUCCUUAUAUACAAACUGAAUGGUAACCACAAAUUAAAAACCAGUAAUAGGUAUAAAAAAAGAAAAGAAAGGAACUCAAGUAUAUCACUAAAGAAAGCCAACAAAUUAUGAGAGUAUAGAGCAAAGGAAGAAAGGAACAAAGAACUACUAAAAACAUGAAAAGCAAGUAACAAAAUGGCAAUAAGUACAUACCUAUCAGUAAGUACUCUGAAUGUAAAUGGACUUAAUGUCAAAAGACACAGGGUAAUGGAAUGCAUAAAACAAAACAAAACAAAAACCAACCAGGACUAGUAGAACAGAUCAGUGAAACCAGGAGCUUGUUCUUUGAAAAGAUCAACAAAAUUAAUAAACCUUUAGGUAGACUCAUCAAAAAAGAAAAAAAGGCAUCAGAAAUGAAAGAGGAGAAAUAACUAAUACCACAGAAACAGAAUUAUAACAGAAUAUUAUGAAAAAUUAUAUGCCAACAUAUUGGACAACCUAGAAAAAAUGGAUACAUUUCUAGAAACAUACAGCCUCCCAAAACUGAAUCAGGAAGAAAUAGAAAAUGAACAGACCUAAUGUGGGGCUGGAACUCACAACCCUGAGACAGAGUUGCCUGCUUUCCCAACUGAGGCAGUCAGGCACCCCCACUCUCAUCACUUUUAGUCAGCAUAGUACUGGAAACCCUAGCUGCAGCAUCAGACAAGAAAAAAGGAAUAAAAGACAUUCAAAUCUGUAAGGAAGAAGUCAAACUGUCACUCUUUGCAAAUGACAUGAUACUAUAUAUAUAAAACCCUAAAGACUCCACCAAAAAAAGCUACUAGAACUAUUAAAUGAAUUCAGUAAGGUUGCAGGAUACACGAUCAAUAUUCAGAAGUCCUUUGCAUUACUAUACAUGAAUAGCAAAGCUUGAAAGAGAAAUUAAGAAAACAAUCCCAUUUACAAUGGUACCAAUAAUAGUAAAUAUUAGGAAUAAAUUUAACCAAGGAGAUGAAAGAUCUAUACUCUGAGAACUAUAAAACGUCAAUGAAAAAAAUUGAAGAUGACAUAAACAAAUGGAAAGACAUUCCAUAGUCCUGAAUUGGAAGAUACUGAUACAUGCCCGUGUUACCCAAAGAAUCUACAGAUAUAGUGCAAUUUCUAUCAAGAUACCAAUAGCACUUUUCACAGAACUAGAAUAAAUAAUCUUAAAAUUUGGAACCAUAGAAGACCCCAAAUAGCCACAACAAUCUUGGAAAAGAAAAAGCUGGAGGUGUCACAGCCCUAGAUUUCCAGAUAUACUACAUAGGUACAGUAAUCAAAACAGUUUGGUAUUGGCACAAAGUUUGAGACACAUGAGAGCCCAGAAAUAAACCUAUGAUUUUGUGGUCAAUCAGUUCUUGACAAAGGAGACAAGAAUAUGUUAUGAGAAAAAGACAUCUCUUUAGCACAUAGUGUUGGGAAAACUGGACAGCUAUAUGUAAAAGAAUCAAACUGGACCACUUUCUUAUACUGUAGACAAAAAUAGAAUUAAGGAUCUAAAUGUGAGACCUGAAACCAUAAAAAUCCUAGAAGAGAGCUCAGGCAGUAAUUUCUCUGACAUUGGCCAUAGCAGUAUUUUUUUAGAUAUGUCUCCUGAGGCAAGAGAAACUAAAGCAAAAUAUAAAGCCCUCCCAAAGGCAAAAAUAAACUAUUGGGACUAUUUAAAAGCAUAAACUUGGGAUCCCUGGGUGGCGCAGCGGUUUGGCGCCUGCCUUUGGCCCGGGGCGCGAUCCUGGAGACCUGGGAUCGAAUCCCACGUCGGGCUCCCUGCAUGGAGCCUGCUUCUCCCUCUGCCUGUGUCUCUGCCUCUCUGUCUCUCUCUGUGUGACUAUCAUGAAUAAAUAAAUAAAAUCUUAAAAAAAAAAAAAAA